UGGAAGUAAAAAGUCGUAACAAGGUCUCCGUUGGUGAACCAGCGGAGGGAUCAUUACCGAGUUUACAACUCCCAAACCCAAUGUGAACGUUACCAAACUGUUGCCUCGGCGGGAUCUCUGCCCCGGGUGCGUCGCAGCCCCGGACCAAGGCGCCCGCCGGAGGACCAACCUAAAACUCUUAUUGUAUACCCCCUCGCGGGUUUUUUUAUAAUCUGAGCCUUCUCGGCGCCUCUCGUAGGCGUUUCGAAAAUGAAUCAAAACUUUCAACAACGGAUCUCUUGGUUCUGGCAUCGAUGAAGAACGCAGCGAAAUGCGAUAAGUAAUGUGAAUUGCAGAAUUCAGUGAAUCAUCGAAUCUUUGAACGCACAUUGCGCCCGCCAGUAUUCUGGCGGGCAUGCCUGUCCGAGCGUCAUUUCAACCCUCGAACCCCUCCGGGGGGUCGGCGUUGGGGAUCGGCCCUCCCUUAGCGGGUGGCCGUCUCCGAAAUACAGUGGCGGUCUCGCCGCAGCCUCUCCUGCGCAGUAGUUUGCACACUCGCAUCGGGAGCGCGGCGCGUCCACAGCCGUUAAACACCCAACUUCUGAAAUGUUGACCUCGGAUCAGGUAGGAAUACCCGCUGAACUUAAGCAUAUCAAUAAGCGGAGGAA
rnacentral:rRNA from 2 species